GCCUGCUCAGAAAAGGAUCUAUAAGUCAGGCCUGGUUAGUACUUAGAUGGGAGACUGCCUGGGAAUACUGGGUGCUGUAGGCU
rnacentral:rRNA from 1 species